UGGGGAAUUUUGGACAAUGGGCGAAAGCCUGAUCCAGCAAUGCCGCGUGUGUGAAGAAGGCCUUCGGGUUGUAAAGCACUUUUGUCCGGAAAGAAAUCCUUGGCUCUAAUACAGUCGGGGGAUGACGGUACCGGAAGAAUAAGCACCGGCUAACUACGUGCCAGCAGCCGCGGUAAUACGUAGGGUGCAAGCGUUAACGGAAUUACUGGGCGUAAAGCGUGCGCAGGCGGUUUGCUAAGACCGAUGUGAAAUCCCCGGGCUCAACCUGGGAACUGCAUUGGUGACUGGCAGGCUAGAGUAUGGCAGAGGGGGGUAGAAUUCCACGUGUAGCAGUGAAAUGCGUAGAGAUGUGGAGGAAUACCGAUGGCGAAGGCAGCCCCCUGGGCCAAUACUGACGCUCAUGCACGAAAGCGUGGGGAGCAAACAGGAUUAGAUACCCUGGUAGUCCACGCCCUAAACGAUGUC
rnacentral:rRNA from 1 species